GGAAACGACAAAGGUUUACCUUUGGGCGUCGAGCGGCGAACGGGUGAGUAACGCGUAGGAAUCUGCCCGAUAGCGGGGGAUAGCCCGGGGAAACCCGGAUUAAUACCGCAUACGCCCCACGGGGGAAAGACCGGGAUCUUCGGACCGGUCGCUAUCGGAGGAGCCUGCGUUGGAUUAGCUUGUUGGUAGGGUAACGGCCUACCAAGGCGACGAUCCAUAGCUGGUCUGAGAGGAUGAUCAGCCACACUGGAACUGAGACACGGUCCAGACUUCUACGGGAGGCAGCAGUCGGGAAUAUUGGACAAUGGGGGAAACCCUGAUCCAGCCAUGCCGCGUGCGUGAAGAAGGCCUUCGGGUUGUAAAGCACUUUCAGUAGUGAGGAAGGGGCCUGGGCGAAUACCCCGGGCUUUUGACGUUAGCUACAGAAGCAGCACCGGCUAACUCCGUGCCAGCAGCCGCGGUAAUACGGAGGGUGCGAGCGUUAAUCGGAAUUACUGGGCGUAAAGCGCGCGUAGGCGGCCUGGUAAGUCGGAUGUGAAAGCCCAGGGCUUAACCUUGGAACUGCAUUCAUACUGCCAGGCUGGAGUAUGGUAGAGGGAGGUAGAAUUCCACGUGUAGCGGUGAAAUGCGUAGAGAUGUGGGGGAAUACCGGUGGCGAAGGCGGCCUCCUGGACCAAUACUGACGCUGAGGUGCGAAGGCGUGGGGAGCGAACAGGAUUAAUACCCUGGUGGUCCACGCGGUAAACGAUGUCAACUAGCCGUUGGGGGCCUUGCUGUCUUUAGUGGCGCACUAACGC
rnacentral:rRNA from 1 species